UACGUACUCCCUCCGUCCCAAAAUUCUUGUCUUAGAUUUGUCUAAAAACGGAUGUAUCAAGUCACGUUUUAGUAUUAGAUACAUCCGUAUCUAGACGAAUCUAAGACAAGAAUUUUGGGACGGAGGGAGUACAAG
rnacentral:pre_miRNA from 12 species